rnacentral:rRNA from 1 species
CCCUUAGAUGUCCUGGGCUGCACGCGUGCUACACUGAUAUUGCCAAUAUGUCAUUCUUAUCCGAAAUGGAUUGGGUAAUCAAGUAAUGAAAUUUCAUGCUUGGAAUCGGUAAUUGCAAUUUUAUCGUGAACGAGGAAUUCCUAGUAAGCACUAGUCAUCAGCUAAUGUUGAUUAUGUCCCUGCCCUUUGUACACACCGCCCGUCGCUACUACUGAUUGGGUGUUCAAGUGAGAUGCUUAGACCCUUGUUGCAUGGUUCAUUAUUGUGCUCCGAAAGGAAAAAGUUUCAAGCUUGAGUGUCUAGAGGAAGUAAAAGUCGUAACA